rnacentral:rRNA from 2 species
AACAAGGAUUCCCUUAGUAACUGCGAGUGAAGAGGGAAAAGCUCAAAUUUAAAAUCUGACAGUGUUUUGCUGUCCGAGUUGUAACCUAGAGAAGUGUAACCUGUGCUGGACCAUGUACAAGUCUCCUGGAAUGGAGCAUCGCAGAGGGUGAGAAUCCCGUGUUUGACAUGGACUACCAGUGCAUUGUGGUUGUGCUCUCAACGAGUCGAGUUGUUUGGGAAUGCAGCUCUAAAUGGGUGGUAAAUUCCAUCUAAAGCUAAAUAUUGGCGAGAGACCGAUAGCGAACAAGUACCGUGAGGGAAAGAUGAAAAGAACUUUGGAAAGAGAGUUAAACAGUAUGUGAAAUUGUUGAAAGGGAAACGUUUGAAGUCAGUCAUGUCGGGUAGGGAUCAGCCUGGCAGAUUGUUGGGUGUACUUCCUGGUUGACGGGCCAACAUCAGUUUUGACUGCCAGAGAAAGGCGAAGGGAAUGUGGCACCUUUGGGUGUGUUAUAGCUCUUUGUCGUAUGUGGUGGUUGGGACUGAGGAAAGCAGUGCGCCGAAAGGCAGGGUUUCGACCACAUUCGCACUGAGGAUGUUGGCAUAAUGGCUUUAAGCGACCCGUCUUGAAACACGGACCAAGGAGUCUAACAUGCAUGCGAGUGUUUGGGUGGAAAACUCUUACGCGGAAUGAAAGUGAAAGUUGAGAACCCUGUCGUGGGGAGCAUCGACGCCCGGACCAGAACUUUUGGGACGGAUCUGCGGUAGAGCACGUAUGUUGGGACCCGAAAGAUGGUGAACUAUGCCUGAAUAGGGUGAAGCCAGAGGAAACUCUGGUGGAGGCUCGUAGCGAUUCUGACGUGCAAAUCGAUCGUCAAAUUUGGGUAUAGGGGCGAAAGACUAA